GAUGAACGCUAGCUACAGGCUUAACACAUGCAAGUCGCGGGGCAGCAUGGGGGUUGCCUGCAAUCCCCGAUGGCGACCGGCGCACGGGUGAGUAACGCGUAUCCAACCUGCCCUUCACCACGGGAUAACCCGGCGAAAGUCGGACUAAUACCGUAUGUUGUCCAUUGACGGCAUCCGAUUUGGACGAAAGGCUUGGCGGUGAGGGAUGGGGAUGCGUCCGAUUAGCCAGACGGCGGGGUAACGGCCCCCCGUGGCCACGAUCGGUAGGGGUUCUGAGAGGGAGGCCCCCCACACUAGAACCGAGCAACAGUCCCGACUCCUAAGGGAGGCAGCGGGGGGGAAGAUUGGUGAAGGGGCAUACCCCUGAACCACCCAUGUAGCGUGGAGGAUUCCGGCCCUUUGGGUUUGAAACUGCUUUUAUGGGGGAGUAAGGGGGCCCGGGUUUGGGCUUUUGCAGGUCCCGCAUUAAUAAGGACCGGCUAAUUCCUU
rnacentral:rRNA from 1 species